UACGUAGGUGGCAAGCGUUGUCCGGAAUUAUUGGGCGUAAAGCGCGCGCAGGCGGUUCUUUAAGUCUGAUGUGAAAGCCCACGGCUCAACCGUGGAGGGUCAUUGGAAACUGGAGAACUUGAGUACAGAAGAGGAAAGCGGAAUUCCACGUGUAGCGGUGAAAUGCGUAGAGAUGUGGAGGAACACCAGUGGCGAAGGCGGCUUUCUGGUCUGUAACUGACGCUGAGGCGCGAAAGCGUGGGGAGCAAACAG
rnacentral:rRNA from 1 species